AGAGUUUGAUCCUGGCUCAGGACGAACGCUGGCGGCGUGCUUAACACAUGCAAGUCGAACGGAAAGGCCUCAAGUUUACUUGGGGUACUCGAGUGGCGAACGGGUGAGUAAUACGUGAGUAACCUGCCCCUUACUUUGGGAUAAGCCCUGGAAACGGGGUCUAAUACUGAAUAUUUUGCUUCUGCCGCAUGGUGGGGGUUGGAAAGUUUUUCGGUAGGGGAUGGGCUCGCGGCCUAUCAGCUUGUUGGUGGGGUGAUGGCCUACCAAGGCUUCGACGGGUAGCCGGCCUGAGAGGGUGACCGGCCACAUUGGGACUGAGAUACGGCCCAGACUCCUACGGGAGGCAGCAGUGGGGAAUAUUGCACAAUGGGGGAAACCCUGAUGCAGCGACGCCGCGUGGGGGAUGAAGGCUUUCGGGUUGUAAACUCCUUUCAGCACAGAAGAAUUUGACGGUAUGUGCAGAAGAAGCGCCGGCUAACUACGUGCCAGCAGCCGCGGUAAUACGUAGGGCGCAAGCGUUGUCCGGAAUUAUUGGGCGUAAAGAGCUCGUAGGCGGUUUGUCGCGUCUGCUGUGAAAGUUCGGGGCUUAACCCUGGGAUUGCAGUGGGUACGGGCAGACUAGAGUGCGGUAGGGGUAAUUGGAAUUCCUGGUGUAGCGGUGGAAUGCGCAGAUAUCAGGAGGAACACCGAUGGCGAAGGCAGGUUACUGGGCCGUUACUGACGCUGAGGAGCGAAAGCAUGGGGAGCGAACAGGAUUAGAUACCCUGGUAGUCCAUGCCGUAAACGUUGGGCACUAGGUGUGGGACCCUUUCCAUGGGUUCUGCGCCGUCGCUAACGCAUUAAGUGCCCCGCCUGGGGAGUACGGCCGCAAGGCUAAAACUCAAAGGAAUUGACGGGGGCCCGCACAAGCGGCGGAGCAUGCGGAUUAAUUCGAUGCAACGCGA
rnacentral:rRNA from 1 species